CUCUGUAGUCUUAUAGAUGUGAAUUCUGUUUUGUAGGCUGAGGAGAGGCACUGUGAGAUCCUUGGCCGCCUUCUUUAUACUGCAAAGCUUGUUGCGAAACAGGAAGGGUUAGAAGGUGGCUUCAGGGUUGUGAUUAAUGAUGGCCCGCAAGGAUGUCAAUCCGUGUAUCACAUUCAUGUCCACCUCCUUGGAGGGCGCCAAAUGAACUGGCCUCCAGGGUAAGAUGAAGUUGUAGUUGAUAGGGUGGACACCAUAUUUAAUGGAAGUGGGCAUUGCGUGUUGUGUGGCCUGUUGAUAAUGUUAAUAAGUGAAAGCAGAUUGUUAACAAAUAGCUUUCAUGUCUAAUGAUGAGAAUGGUAUCAUUGUCCUCAGGGCUACCAGCUCUUCAACAGUGGAAAACUAAUUGACCUUGUUGAAGUAAUAAUACUUGGAAUGAUAAUGUGGUCUGCUUAGUUGUUCCCUGCCUUCUUCCUAUUUAGUUUUCAUAUUAAAUGGUUUAGAAUUCAUAAAUUGUUCUUUGAGCAA